CUUGCUGGUGUUUCUUAUAUCCUUGAGGCCCUCUGAAGUGUUACGCAGACCCUGUAAAAAGUUUGGUCCUCCUCCUGUUUAUAAGAUACCUUCAAGUGCUAGAAGCCACAGUGAAGCAUUUUCUUCUCCUUGAGGUGGCUGCAUUUGAACAGCAGCACAGCUGGAACAUUAACUAACUAAAAGUGAAGUUAAUAACUGCAGACUUCCACACCAAGGUACAAUAUACAUCUUCAAGCCAGGGAAGCCCUACCGCAUCUGAGAAAGGCUGCCUUGCAGAAAUUCAGCUGCAAACAACACAGACACAGGAAACAUCCUCAGCAAUUUCAGCUGAACAUACAAUGCCAAACGACCACCCACCGAAGAGGGCAUUUGCCUCCCCUUUCUCACCCCUCAAGAUUACCGAGGGAAUGGCAUCAGCCAGGGAAGAAGCCCCCAGCACAGAAAAAGCAGGUGCCUCCUCUUUUAGUGUGGCCGCCCAUCUACCAGUUCAAUCCAGCACAGGUCAUGAGGUACGCUCUUGAAUAUUUUGCCUUAUCCACAGAAGGAGGUACCUUCAUUUUUAUUUAUAUAAACAAAAAUGAAGUUGGCCAUGUUAGAGACCUCUCACAAGAGGA
rnacentral:lncRNA from 7 species